GAUGAACGCUGGCGGCGUGCCUAAUACAUGCAAGUCGAGCGAAUGGAUUGAGAGCUUGCUCUUAUGAAGUUAGCGGCGGACGGGUGAGUAACACGUGGGUAACCUGCCCAUAAGACUGGGAUAACUCCGGGAAACCGGGGCUAAUACCGGAUAACAUUUUGAACCGCAUGGGUCGAAAUUGAAAGGCGGCUUCGGCUGUCACUUAUGGAUGGACCCGCGUCGCAUUAGCUAGUUGGUGAGGUAACGGCUCACCAAGGCAACGAUGCGUAGCCGACCUGAGAGGGUGAUCGGCCACACUGGGACUGAGACACGGCCCAGACUCCUACGGGAGGCAGCAGUAGGGAAUCUUCCGCAAUGGACGAAAGUCUGACGGAGCAACGCCGCGUGAGUGAAGAAGGCUUUCGGGUCGUAAAACUCUGUUGUUAGGGAAGAACAAGUGCUAGUUGAAUAAGCUGGCACCUUGACGGUACCUAACCAGAAAGCCACGGCUAACUACGUGCCAGCAGCCGCCGUAA
rnacentral:rRNA from 1 species